ensembl:lncRNA
GAUGACAGAGGGAUGACAGAGGGUGACAGAGGGAUGACAGAGGGAUGACAGAGGGAUGACAGAGGGAUGACAGAGGGGUGACAGAGGGGGGGAGAGGGGGUGACCGGGGGAUGACAGAGGGGUGACAGAGGGAUGACGGAGGGAUGACAGAGGGGUGACAGAGGGGUGAUAGAGAGGUGACCAAGGGGUGACAGAGGGAUGACAGAGGGGUGACAGAGGGAUGACAGAGGGGUGACAGAGGGAUGACAGAGGGAUGACAGAGGGGUGACAGAGAGGUGACAGAGAGGUGACAGAGGGCUGACAGAGGGAUGACAGAGGGUUGACAGAGGGGUGACAGAGU